UGAAAUGAGAAAUAAAAGCCAGGAAAAGCGUUUUUGCCGCCGUGGUGGCCGUUUCCCGCCCAAGGCGGACGCCGCCGUUGCGGCCGUUCCUCUGAGGUAACGGGCGUCCCUUCCCGCUCCCGCCGCGCGCUUCCCGCCUCCGCCCCCCCACGUGACAACGGCGUCCCUCACGUGACCGCCACCGCCCGCCUAGUCCUCUUUCGGGUCGGACGGCGAGACCGUGCUUCCGGUUCCGGCGGCGCUCGGCCCAUCAUGGCGGCGCCCAGAGAGGCGCCGGAGCGGCGGCUCUUCGGGAGGCGCUUCCUCACCGACCCCGCCCGCCUCUUCCAGCACAACGCCUGGGAUAAUGUGGAAUGGUCAGAAGAGCAGGAAGCCAGUGCCAGGAGUAAAGUUCAAGAGAACAGCUCACAGCUAUUGCCACAAGAUAAACAAGAGGAAUACGAGGUGAAUGCUAAGAGGUACUGGGAUGAGUUUUAUAAAAUCCAUGAAAAUGGCUUCUUCAAGGACAGGCACUGGCUGUUCACUGAAUUUCCUGAGCUGGCACCUAACAGGAACCCAAGUCAAAACGGGGAUUCUGUGCAUGAAUUUAGUAACAAAGACGACUCCAACAAUGAAGGGCUGGGAAGCUGUGAAAAUGGACGUUGUUCAUUGGAAACCAGGGCAGAGAAUCAAUUAAACCUGAUAAAAAGCACACCUAAGAUCUGCACAGAGGAGCUGGCUACACAGAAGUACAGUGAGCUGAAUCAAAGUGAUGGAGAUUACCCAGGAUCAUCUGCAUCUUACCGUAUAUUAGAGGUUGGCUGUGGUGCUGGAAAUACAGUCUUCCCAAUUUUACAAACCAACAAUGACCCAGGCCUUUUUGUUUACUGCUGUGAUUUUUCUACAACAGCUGUGGAUCUUGUCCAGAACAAUGCAGAAUAUGAUUCUUCUCGCUGCUUUGCUUUUGUCCAUGACCUGUGCAAUGACCAAAGUCCUUUCCCAAUGCCAGACAAGAGUCUUGAUGUUGUUAUUCUUAUCUUUGUCCUCUCAGCGAUUCUCCCAGAGAAGAUGCAAUGCAUCGUUAAUAGACUGAGUCGCCUUCUGAAACCAGGAGGAAUGAUUUUGUUACGAGAUUAUGGCCGUUACGAUCUGGCCCAGCUUCGGUUUAAGAAAGGUCAAUGUCUGUCUGAUAACUUCUAUGUGAGAGGUGAUGGCACCAGAGUCUACUUCUUCACACAAGAUGAAUUAGAUGAUCUCUUCACAACAGCUGGGCUGGAGAAAAUCCAGAAUCUGGUUGAUCGGCGAUUGCAAGUGAACCGUGGGAAACAAAUGACGAUGUAUCGAGUAUGGAUCCAGUGCAAAUACCGCAAGCCUGCCACCCCUCAGCUGUGAGGAAACGGGGCAUGCUUUUUGGGGUUGAGCCUUUUCGUGGCCAUGUGCAGUGUCUCCUGGUGAAGUGUGGUUUUACAGAGUUCAGCGCACACAGGACCUCAGUGCCUUUUACAGUGCCUAGCAUCACUUCAACAUUCCAGUCUUGCGGUCUGUGGCUUACAGACAAUGCCAACGUAGCUUGUUGAACCUCCCAAGCAGAAGAGAUGAUUUCAUAGCUCUUCAGAGGCGCUGCCCCUGCGAUUCUGGAGCCAGACAUUGUUACACUUCGGAAAGUCUGGUCCUGGCUCUUGCCAGAGGAUGGUGGAUUUCCUUGGAGGUUCGUAGAUUGUUGUGGCUGGAAGGGAACUUUAUCACCAACUAUUCUGACCCUUUGCAUAACCCUUUCGUGUAGGGAUUAUGGCAUCAAGCCUGUGACUUGGGCUGAGCCAGAACUAGUCCUUCAGAAAGGCUUUCGAUCCAGCCAUGAUGCUGAGGGCUCCAGUGAAUGGCAAAGAACCCUUUGCCUCCCCAGGUGCAUUGUUCCUCUCACAGCAUCCUGAUUUCACGAAUCGGCUAGAAACUGGGAGGCAGGAAGGGAACAGGGGAGGAAAAGACCACAAGAGGCUGGGGAGUAUUUCUGAUACCUUCACUUCAAAAAUAAAUAAAUUGUAAAUUCCACUGAAAAUUGGAGCUUUCUCAGGAUCUUCCUGACAUCACAGGAAAGUGGGAAAUGGCAGUCAUCCUUAGUGAUUUUUAUUGUUACAACAGUAAUCAUCAAAUGCUUCUGACCAGAAGCAUGUGAGACCAGACACAAUUGUCUUCUCCCCCAAAUGCUUUAGCUCCACCUUCUCAGGGUAUGUCACCACCAUUUCUAAUUCUGUAGUUAGUUGUAGAGCUCCAGGAUAAAUGAAACGUGAUUAUUUUCAAUAAAACAGGUGUGAGCAGAAGGAACCUUCACGUCUGCAUGCCAGUGGCUUUUGGCAUUGCAUUGUAACUAAAGCUGGAAGAGCUUCCUUUUGUCGUUGGCACUGGGAUGACCCCCAGCUGGUCCCCAGCUGGAUUCCCUGCAGGAAUCGCAGGCCCAGACUGAACUUAACUGUUUUUCCCGAGCACAAAUGAAAGAUGCACAGGUUUCAGAGCCUAGAAGUGAGAGUACAGAUGAGGAUGAGGCCACAGAGAUCAAGUUAUCAAGGGAUUUGGGGAGCAUCCUUCCAUCUCUGUAAAGAUGGAAGGAAAUUGAGUCACGCAGUCUUCUUUGUUCUCCUGAUGAGUCAACUGGAUCUGAUUUGUCAAUCAGAGCACUUUUGGUUUGGUGUCAUAUUGGAGAAAAUUAGUACAGAAGAGAAACGCAUGAUCAGGAUCACUGUUGCUAUUGUAGCUUGACAGGGGUGUGUGCUUGGCACACAUCUUUUGCACAGUGUCCAUAGGAUUCUAACAGUGUUGUCAUAUAUGUUUUCAGGGCAAGACAGAAAUUACUAGAAAAGCGAGGAGGAGGGAGGAAUUUUUUGGAGGACUCUUCUGCAAAGCGAGAUACUCUAGAGGGAAAGGAGUUGUCAGCUCUGUGCUUAAUCAGCAAAGCUCUGGAGUUUGUGCUUAGCUCUUGCUGAAGGCAUUAAGUUCCUGUGCGUAAGUGCCCUGCUGAAUGGGAGCUUGUAUUGCCAAGAAAGUGGGACACAGUGCAGGAAAUUACCUAUAUAGGCAACAGUGAGUGCUAAUGUGAACCAAAUAGGAUACAGCUACCUUCAUUAUGGAGAGCACAAGCCAGACCAGGGAACUUGGCUGGAACACAGGCAGGGAGAAGCAAGAGAAGAGCCAUGUGUGCCUCUGCUUUUACCUCCUGCCCAAAGGCUGUAUGGUAUGACAGGAGGUGUCAUGCCAAUGAAGGCUUUUACUCUUGAAAAUGUGGUCUUUGACCCACAGUUGGAUGAGUGGGAACUGGCUGUGGUUGGAAAGCAUUGUUGGCAAAGAUCGCUAGCAAGUCUAACAUGUCAAGACCUGCCUGGACCUCCCAGAUGUUGGUCCAUGGCUGUUUCCAGGAAGGAAGAACAUCCUGGUGAGGUUUGGACCCUGCUGCUCUAAACUGUGCUCCCUGGUAUUGAAUAACCCCAAAGAGUCUUCACUGCAAGCGCCAACAGAGCAUGUGAACAGCAACUUGAUUUUGGGGUGGAGUGUGAGUGUCACUGCUGUAUUCAGGUUGUUUUAAUGUUUUGUAGUCCAAAGGACCCUUGUAGCUCUUGCAUUUUCAUGUUAUUUGGAGGUUGGGGAGUUCUGGGGGAUUGCAGCCAAUCCUUUGGCCUAUGAAACUUACUUUCCACUGGUGUGAAGUGAGAAGUUGCUGUUUGCAGUCCCGGGUCGCAGAGGCCAGGCUCAGACCUCUGUGGCGUGUGUGGGGAACACUGGGGGAUCUGCUCUGCAGCUGUAAGUGGAGAGGUACCCUGCCACCCUUCUCCAGGGGCACUGGAUGUGGCAUUCCUCAUUGAGAAAGAAAAUUGGCUGAUCUCCCCUCAGACUACUUCUUCAUCCAUGGAACCAAGCACGAGGCAUGGUACUGGGUUCCCCUCAUCUGGGGAGCACCGCUUAGGCAGGUACACUACGCUACAGUCUUUAAUUACACAGCCGCACAUUUUUUUCCACAUUCAGUGCCAAGGGUGGAUGUGAAGAGGUCGAUCAAGGUUGCAUGGAAAACUAAAUCUGGCUUUUCCUCAACUUCAAGUGACUUCUUCCCUACUGAGAUGAGCCUUGUUAUGAAGGUCGGUAUGUAUUUACAUUCACACAGAGGCUGAAUAUACUUACAGAAAUAUGCAUGCAGUAACUCUAGCUUUACAAUAGGAUGUUGAUUUAAUUUUCCUCUUACACAAAUCUCAGAGCAGUUUGUUUAAUUGAGGCUUUCAAAAGCCCUGUAAGGUAGGGUGUUAUUAUGCCCGUUUUAUGCAGGAGGAAGAGAAGCGGGGGGCAAAUCCUGCCGAGAAUAAUACCCUCUUGUAUUCUAGGAAGCUGGUAGUGAGGACAGGGAAGGACUUGCUGGCACAUAAAGGAGAAUCGCAUUGUUUCAGGUGUGUGCAGAAGAAAAAACAGUGGAUUUUGCUAGUACCGUGUGCUUUGAGGAACACGGACGCGAUCACAGAGGUGUUCCUUUCCUACCUGCGAGUCUUCAUUCCCCUCGGCCGGGCCGUAGUGGUUGCGCAGGUCUGGGUGUGCGUGCGCGGCGGGCUGCCUCCUCCGGCAGGCAGGACAUGCACUCAUGGAUGAGGGCACUGAGGUUGUGCUUGGCUCGCUGCAUGUGUGGAGGGUGAGGGACCUGGAUGCUUUCCUACUGGGUUUGGGUAUCAAAGCUUCCCUAAUGGGAUACCUGAAGGUGUAGACAGAGGGAGGGGCAGGAACAACCUCUGAGAUAAACUCCAUUGUGUGGGAGGGUGGAGGCUCUCUGAAUGGCCUCAGGAAGGAGUCAGGUGAUGGCAUGUUAUCUUUGAGUAGCUGAGAUAGGAACUUUCUCCCCUCUAAUGAAAAUGAGGAAAGACCCUUUUAAUGUUCCUAGUGAGGGAAAGGCUGUGCCGGGAGCCCUACCCUUACUAGACGCUCGAGAAUCCACACAAGGGUGAGAUGUUUUGAGUGCCCCAAGUCCAGAAAAAUCUUCACUUGCAACUUGUGCGUCGUUAAGUGCAACAGAAUCUGCUCUGCAGACAAGGGUUGGCCUCUUCUGGAUGUGAUGCCUAGAGGUGAGAUCAUCCCUCGGUGCUAAAACCUUAAGAAACCUGCAGAGUGCUGAACUCUUGUGGGUUGGUUUUGGUUUUUUUUUCUCAAUGGCUGUAAAAUUUUUGGAUUUGAGAUCACUGAUGCCAGCUUUUACGUUUUAAAGGCUCAGGCUAUUUGAUGCUUUUCUCAAGUCCCCAGCUCCCAGUGUCCUGCUAUCACUGAGGAAUCUCAGCUCUCUUUUUUGUGUAUGUGUUAUGUCAAUACAUUUCUAGACCUCAUGGCAGUACAGAAAUGCUGUGAAAAAUGCAGUUAGAGUAUUUCACAAGGCAAAGGAAAGUCACCAAAAUGCAUUAAAUAAAAAGAACAGGAGCUC